AGCUUUGCGCAGUGGCAGUAUUGUAGCCAACGAGGUUUAUCUGAGGUGCAAUUAUUGCUAAUUGAAAACUUUUUCCAAAAUG
rnacentral:snRNA from 1 species